GACGAACGCUGGCGGCGUGCCUAAUACAUGCAAGUUGAGCGCUGAAGGUUGGUACUUGUACCAACUGGAUGAGCAGCGAACGGGUGAGUAACGCGUGGGGAAUCUGCCUUUGAGCGGGGGACAACAUUUGGAAACGAAUGCUAAUACCGCAUAAAAACUUUAAACACAAGUUUUAAGUUUGAAAGAUGCAAUUGCAUCACUCAAAGAUGAUCCCGCGUUGUAUUAGCUAGUUGGCGAGGUAAAGGCUCACCAAGGCGAUGAUACAUAGCCGACCUGAGAGGGUGAUCGGCCACAUUGGGACGGAGACACGGCCCAAACUCCUACGGGAGGCAGCAGUAGGGAAUCUUCGGCAAUGGACGAAAGUCUGACCGAGCAACGCCGCGUGAGUGAAGAAGGGUUUCGGAUCGUAAAACUCUGUUGGUAGAGAAGAACGUUGGUGAGAGUGGAAAGCUCAUCAAGUGACGGUAACUACCCAGAAAGGGACGGCUAACUACGUG
rnacentral:rRNA from 1 species